UUUCUAUAUUAGCAAUGAAUAUGAAAAAUUUUAAAAAUACUUGGUGGUGGAUCGAUGCACAAUAGUGUCGUGAUCACGUCUUACCAUGUAUUCAAAAAAGGCUUGUC
rfam:Flavobacteriaceae bacterium TMED265 158192, whole genome shotgun sequence.